ACCGGGAGAACUUGGCUGGCUGGCUGACUGAAUGGGGAUGCUUGGUGUGGUGGCUGUUCUUGCCAGGACAAUAGCUGGCUGACAAAGUCAGGCUCAGGCCUUUCUGACUUGAGAGAAGCCUGCGUGGAGCUUUAUGUCGGUCCAGUGCUGGCCUCAGAUGACUUGGGUGGAUCAGACUUGCUGCCUGCACUUAUGAAGCCCCAUGAUCUGCUACCAACCUGUGGGCUUGGAAGUCAUGCACCUGCAGCUGGAUCCCUCUGGGACUUGUGAAAUGUAGGUCCUAAGGCCUACUCCCUGGAAAUAUAAAUCUGGCCAGUUAUUAUUGUAGCUGACAGGAUUCACAGCUGAGUGUGAUCGAGAAUUACUUUCCUACUCUGGUAGUACGCAUAGGCUCUUCAAUCAUCAUGAAAACUAGCUAACAGGGAUGAAGCUUUCAGUAGGAGCUCCAGGAUUAGGGAUGGGAUGAAAGAUGUAAUUCUCCUCUCAGUACAACUGAAAGAAUCUGAUCGUCUGUUCCACCUUCCUGAAUCAUUUCUACUGCACAAAUAAUGGCAACAAUUGACAACUACCUGCUGUUCCCAUUGGCCAAGUACCUCCAAUCACAAUCUUUCAAGCACUGAAUAAGCAAGCAUGUUUGAAGCUCCAGGGUUUUUCUGUGUAGCCCAGGCUGUCCUGGAACUCGCUCUGUAGACCAGUUCAAGGUUUGAACUCACGAAAUCUACCUGUGUCAGCCUUCCCGGUGCUGAGAUUAAAGGCCUGGUGAGAUUGGAUACAUCGCUGUAGGCACCAGAAAUAGAGAAGUCCCGAGAGCCAGGGCCUGGACAAACUCACCUCUCUGUGAGGUGCUCCUUGGCUGGAAUUCAGGCUCCUCCCCCGCUGCCCUUGCACGUGUCUGGCUACUUCUGGCUGCACCCAUUCGUCCUCCCUACCUUCUAGUUAUCAUAGAACCCACCACCUUGCACUUCCUGAGUAGACCCCAGGCCUGGUGUGGCCUCCAGCUCAGACUAGCCCCCAUGGAUCCCCUCCAGAAAUGGGAGUCAGCAUUGAUUUCUGGGUCUUCUCAAGUGACCAUUGUGGAGACCUCCCAGGAAGGCUCUGCAUCCUCUCACCUCAUCUCCUUAGAACAGCUGAGGUUGGACGUCAGCGGCCUGAGCACCAAUCCUGGCUCCGGCGCCCCUACACCUUUGGCAGAGGGGCUGCUCCAGAGGCAGUGCACGGAGCAGAAUAACUUCCUGGAGCAGCGCUGUGGACGCCUGGGUUUCCCUCAGAAGAAGAAAGCAUUCCUGGGGCAGUUGAGACGCAGGCACCGAGAUCACAGGGCACCUUACCCAGUGGAAAAGGACAGCAGAAUCUUCCGCUCAGGCAACAGAGCUCAGAAUUGGUUCCGAUGUGAAUGUCUGUAUUGCCAGGCCCGUGGGCAAAAUAUUAUUGGGGAAAGGGAUGGGGCCUCCAAUCCUUCCUCCUGGGAUACACUAGUGCAGGGACUUGGUGGCCUUACCCUCAGCCUGGGAGCUGAGAGAAGCAGCCUCCUGCCAGAGGGGGCGCAGCAGCAGCAGCCUCAGCAGCCUCAGCGGCAGCGGCAGCAGAGCCAGCGGCAGCCAGAAGAGAAGUGCCAGCGGGAAAGCAAGAGGAGGUUCCACAAGCUGUUCAAGCAGUGGUUGGAAGAAAACUGAGGAGGUGCUCAUCUUCAGGAGACACAGAGACCCCGAUGAUCCACACAGUGCUUCGUUGUCAGCUUCUGCGUGUAGGCUCCUUUGUGGGACAAAAUACUCAGCUGUCCAUUGCGGGAUACCCCAGGCCUGGGCGUUUUCACCAACAUCUUCCAGGCAUGAGAUGUGACCCAUUCCCAGGAGGACCUCCGCUUUCCUGCCUGUUAUUUGUGGAGUACUGUGAAGCGUUCUAGUGUAAAGGAGGCUACACACCCCUGGUCCUCAGCCCAUCUCCUAUGCUCCCGUGAUGCAUGUUGACACUUUCCCUGCCUGGAUCUCUGUCUUUCUACCUACUUCCUUAUUAGUACAGUGAGAGUGUCUGUGGCCUUGUGGAUGUCCACGUGCUUUUGUGCCCUUUGAUCCAGGUCCAAGAAUCUGCAACUGUAGAGUGUGAGGAGAAAGAUGGAGUCAGACCAUGGUGGUUCACCAUUUUACCUUCUGUAUAAACAAGAUAUUCAACUAUGCUAGGCUAACUGGAAGUUCACGUGUACCUGCUCCGUAACAGUAGACUAAUAUCCUCCCACACGGGAAUUUCUGAUGGAGUACCUCAUUGUCAAUGCCAAAUAAUAAACAUACUUAUGAAAGAAGAGUGACCUUAGAAUGCAGGGUGGUGGUAUUUUGUUUCUUGUCAGAGCUGGAAAAUCCCUGACUGGUAGGCUAGACUCUAAGAGGAGGAGCUCAGCCCCAUGGAGAUUUGGGAAGCAGGGUGGAGUGGGAUUGGACUGGGGUGGAGUGGGAGGGCAUGGUGGUUUAAAAGAGAAUGUCCCCCAUUGGCUCAUAUAUUCAAACUCUUGGUCCCCAGUUGGAAAUGUUUGGAAGGAUUAGGGGGUGUGGCCUUGUUGGAGGAGGUGUGUCACUGGGAGUGAGUCUUGAGGUUUCAAUAGCCCAGUCCAUUCCCAGUUAUCUCCCCUCUGCCUGCUUCCUGUGGAUCAGAGGUAAGCUCUCAGCAACCGACUCAACGCCAUGCUACCUGCCUGCUGCCAUGCUCCCUGCCAUGUUGGGCAGGGACUCUAACCCUCUGAAAAUGUGAGCCUCAAAUUAAAUGUUUUCAUUUCUAAGUUG